rnacentral:rRNA from 1 species
GACGAACGCUGGCGGCGUGCUUAACACAUGCAAGUCGAACGGAAAGGCCCUGCUUUUGUGGGGUGCUCGAGUGACGAACGGGUGAGUAACACGUGAGUAACCUGCCCUUGACUUUGGGAUAACUUCAGGAAACUGGGGCUAAUACCGGAUAGGAGCUCCUGCUGCAUGGUGGGGGUUGGAAAGUUUCGUCGGUUGGGGAUGGACUCGCGGCUUAUCAGCUUGUUGGUGGGGUAGUGGCUUACCAAGGCUUUGACGGGUAGCCGGCCUGAGAGGGUGACCGGCCACAUUGGGACUGAGAUACGGCCCAGACUCCUACGGGAGGCAGCAGUGGGGAAUAUUGCACAAUGGGCGGAAGCCUGAUGCAGCAACGCCGCGUGCGGGAUGACGGCCUUCGGGUUGUAAACCGCUUUCGCCUGUGACGAAGCGAGAGUGACGGUAACGGGUAAAGAAGCACCGGCUAACUACGUG